rnacentral:rRNA from 1 species
ACUCCUACGGGAGGCAGCAGUGGGGAAUAUUGCACAAUGGGCGCAAGCCUGAUGCAGCCAUGCCGCGUGUGUGAAGAAGGCCUUAGGGUUGUAAAGCACUUUCAGCGAGGAGGAAGGCACCAUACUUAAUACGUGUGUGAUUGACGUUACUCGCAGAAGAAGCACCGGCUAACUCUGUGCCAGCAGCCGCGGUAAUACGGAGGGUGCAAGCGCUAAUCGGAAUUACUGGGCGUAAAGCGCACGCAGGCGGUUUGUUAAGUCAGAUGUGAAAUCCCCGCGCUUAACGUGGGAACUGCAUUUGAAACUGGCAAGCUAGAGUCUUGUAGAGGGGGGUAGAAUUCCAGGUGUAGCGGUGAAAUGCGUAGAGAUCUGGAGGAAUACCGGUGGCGAAGGCGGCCCCCUGGACAAAGACUGACGCUCAGGUGCGAAAGCGUGGGGAGCAAACAGGAUUGGAUACCCUGGUAGUCCACGCUGUAAACGAUGUCGACUUGGAGGUUGUGCCCUUGAGGCGUGGCUUCCGGAGCUAACGCGUUAAGUCGACCGCCUGGGGAGUACGGCCGCAAGGUUAAAACUCAAAUGAAUUGACGGGGGCCCGCACAAGCGGUGGAGCAUGUGGUUUAAUUCGAUGCAACGCGAAGAACCUUACCUACUCUUGACAUCCACGGAAUUCGCCAGAGAUGGCUUAGUGCCUUCGGGAACCGUGAGACAGGUGCUGCAUGGCUGUCGUCAGCUCGUGUUGUGAAAUGUUGGGUUAAGUCCCGCAAUGAGCGCAACCCUUAUCCUUUGUUGCCAGCACGUAAUGGUGGGAACUCAAAGGAGACUGCCGGUGAUAAACCGGAGGAAGGUGGGGAUGACGUCAAGUCAUCAUGGCCCUUACGAGUAGGGCUACACACGUGCUACAAUGGCAUAUACAAAGAGAAGCGAACUCGCGAGAGCAAGCGG